GUCCAAAGAGAAGAACCUGCAUAAAGACUUUAUGAAAAGAGCAAGGACUUCCAGGACUUGACAUGCCAGGACUGAUGAGGAAACUGAGAGUCAAAGAUAUUAAGAUCUUCCAAAGGCUCACAGCUAUUAAGGGCUGAAGAUGCUCCUGAACAAAGGAAACAGGAAGUUGGUACCAUCUUGUCUCUGAAGACUGCUCAACAUAGCUGACUAGAGUUGGGUAAAUUAUCUAGCAGACUUUGC
rnacentral:lncRNA from 1 species